AUGGGUUGGAAACCUGUUUUUUAGGGAGGAAUAAAAUGACGUGUACCUGAAGAAGAAGCAUCGGCUAAAUCCGUGCCAGCAGCCGCGGUAAGACGGAGGAUGCAAGUGUUAUCCGGAAUCACUGGGCGUAAAGCGUCUGUAGGUGGUUUAAUAAGUCAACUGUUAAAUCUUGAGGCUCAACUUCAAAAUCGCAGUCCAAACUAUUAGACUAGAGUAUAGUAUAGGUAAAGGGAAUUUCCAGUGGAGCGGUGAAAUGCGUAAAUAUUGAAAAGAACACCGAUGGCGAAAGCACUUUACUGGGCUAUUACUAACACUCAGAGACGAAAGCUAGGGUAGCAAAUGGGAUUAGAUACCCCAGUAGUCCUAGCCGUAAACUAUGGAUACUAGAUGUUGAACAGAUCGACCUGUGCAGUAUCAAAGCUAACGCGUUAAGUAUCCCGCCUGGGAAGUAUGCUCGCAAGAGUGAAACUCAAAGGAAUUUGACGGGGAGAAUUGACGGGG
rnacentral:rRNA from 1 species